AAAGAAGGUGGGGAAGCUGCUGGAGCCUUUAUUGGUGUUUCGGAUCUCACAAGAAUAACAAGCGAAUUGGACAUGCCGUUCUUGUUCCCCAAACUCCGGAGACAGGAGCAGAUGCUCUCCGAUAUGAAAAUCCGACUCAACCUCCUUCCAUAGUAGUUCCUUUCAUUGCACCUCCUUCGUCCCCUGCGUCAUUCUUUCUGUCAGAACCUCCUUCGGCAACCCAGUCGCCAACUGGCCUAUCAUUGCACACCUCUAUAUCAGCAAGCAUGUAUUCCCCCAGUGGGCCUGCAUCAAUUUUCGCUAUUGGUCCUUACGCAUAUGAAACCCAAUUAGUCUCUCCACCGGUCUUCUCAAC
rnacentral:lncRNA from 1 species